AGGAUCUCCUCCAAGAUUAAAGCUAGUCCUAAGAGCAACUGAAUUGCUGUGACUGACUUUCAUGGGACUGUAAAGAGAGAAAAAAGAACCCCCCUCAACUCCCCCACGAAGCCGGAGCGAUGCGCGGUCCGCCUGCCCCUGUUCCGCCGUGUCUCCGCUCGGCGCGGGGCUCCGACCGCCGCUGCCGGGUUCCCCGCGGGAUGCGGCGGUGCCACCGGCAGCCCUCUAGCGCUACCUGGCGGGGCUCCAGCACCAUCCCGCUGCCUCGCAAGGCCCCGGUCCCCGCGCAGCUCCAGGGGCGCGGAGCGGUGCGGAGCACUGUGGACCGCUUCGAGCCUCCGCCUCCCGCGCGGCUCCGAGCGCUUGGUUUGGCGUUGCCACCUCCCCGCGUUCCAUCGAGCAGGCGGGCUGCGGGCCGCGGCGGGAAGGGGAACGGGGGGACGCCUUCGCCUUGGUGCGCGUGAAGCGCUGAUGUCAGACCAGAGCGCGGCUUUUUUUAUUAUGUCUUAGGCUGGGAGGUUUGUAGAAGUGAAGCCCAUAAACAGCCAACGCGCCUGUUUCCAUCAUAAACCAGGGAGAGUAAAAUACCUGCCAGGGCUCCCCGCUAACACAGUGCAGCUGCUUCCACCGAGGCAGCUAAAAACCUAGUUUGCCUUUGUUGGAAGAAGCCCGAAGCAUUAACAAAAUCCAUCUUUCCAAUAUGACAUCCUAACAAAAAGGACAGUUAGGGCAAACUAAAUCGCUUUAGUGGGGUAUCAGAGCAUCCGCGAAGGCUCCAAACUCCUCUCAGAGCUCUGCUCUCGCGCACUUAAAAUAUUACCUUUUGUUCUCCAGCUGCCUAUAAAACUCCAGAAGAGGAGCGCUCUCCUUUUUACACUGGAGUUCUCGGUCCGGAGAGAACAAUAUCCUCCUACCUCCUCUGAAAUGAUAAGGAGAACCUCACAACACACAGGCGAGCACUCCAAGCACGAAUCUCUUUCUUUUUUUUUUUUUUCCCCAUUUUUUCCCCCCAAGAACUGCUCGGCCCAUUGUUUGAAGUGGGAUUCAGCGCGCAGCCCAAAGGGAAAAAGGAAAAAAACCGAAAGAAAUCUUAGGAGCCCGGUUUGAUAUUGCACAGAGAAAGAUCUGACAAAAUAGUAUAGCGCGUCUCCUAGAAGGACGUGAUGGGAGCCGGCGGUGUGUUCCCGAAGGAAAGAUGGGUUUGUUUUUUGGGUUUUUUUUUCCCCACCCUUAAAGAUUGUGAUCGCCUUUGUACGUCUUUCUUUUGAUCCCACAAAGAGAAUGCCAUAUACAUAUAUGUGUUUGCUCUCCGUACAAGAAAUGCAAAGGACCGCACAAUGGAAUAUGCGGCCGGUUAGUCCUCAUAAUGCUUAGUUUUGCUGUAAUUAAUUGAAAACAGUUAUUAGGUCGUCAUUGGCAAUAGCGUAAAUAAUUGCAGCAGAUUUUUACUUAAAAUUGACCGGCCACAGAGUGAUAGAUCGAUUCGAGGUAUAAAAAUGAUGUAUCAAAACAUCAAUGUCGAUUAUUUGAAAUAUUGUAGUCGAAUCUUUUUAUUGCUUUAUCGGUUAAGUGUCUGAAAGUGCUGUGUUCCAACAUAUAUUUAUGUUGUCAAUACUGUCAAAACUGUCAGUUUUAUUACAGUGGAUUUGUAAUACAUUUCGGAUUUGCUCAUUUACAUAAAAUGUCCACCCCAGAUACCCCUCCUUU
ensembl:lncRNA